rnacentral:tRNA from 1 species
GCGGAUAAUUUGUGUUUUGAUUUGAAAUCAUAAUUGUCAUCGUGGUAGGUGAUAUCUGCU